CCAGUGGUGGACGCGACACGAGUGAGAAUGCAGGCAUGAGUAGCGAAUGCAAUGUGAGAAACAUUGCCGCCGAAUGAUCAAGGGUUCCAGGGUCAAGCUAAUCUGCCCUGGGUAAGUCGGGACCUAAGGCGAGGCCGACAGGCGUAGUCGAUGGACAACGGGUUGAUAUUCCCGUACCGGCAAAGUAGCGCCCAUGCUGAACCUGGUGAUGCUAACCGCCCGAAGCCAUGAGUAUUGAUCCCUUCGGGGUGAGAGCUUGUGGGGGAGCGCGGGACCCGAGCUGGUAGUAGGCAAGCGAUGGGGUGACGCAGGAAGGUAGCCCAGCCGUGGCGAUGGUUGUCCACGGGUAAGUGCGUAGGGUGUCAUCUAGGUAAAUCCGGAUGGCUGACUUUGAUGUCGGGCCUGAGACACGAUACGGAGCCGUUUGGUGAAGUGGGUGAUCCUAUGCUGUCGAGAAAAACCUCUAGCGAGCUAUGCGCCGCCCGUACCCCAAACCGACUCAGGUGAUCAGGUAGAGAAUACUAAGGCGAUCGAGCGAACCAUGGUUAAGGAACUCGGCAAAAUGCCCCCGUAACUUCGGGAGAAGGGGGGCCGGAUCCGUCAAACUCCUUGCGAGUGGCAGCGGUGAUGGCCGCAGAGACCAGGCCCAAGCGACUGUUUACUAAAAACACAGGUCCGUGCGAAGUUGUAAGACGAUGUAUACGGACUGACUCCUGCCCGGUGCUGGAAGGUUAAGAGGACCUGUUAGGUGGUAACACCGAAGCGGAGAAUUUAAGCCCCAGUAAACGGCGGUGGUAACUAUAACCAUCCUAAGGUAGCGAAAUUCCUUGUCGGGUAAGUUCCGACCUGCACGAAUGGAGUAACGACUUGGGCGCUGUCUCAACCGUGGACUCGGCGAAAUUGCACUACGAGUAAAGAUGCUCGUUACGCGCGGCAGGACGGAAAGACCCCGGGACCUUUACUAUAGUUUGGUAUUGGUGUUUGGUUCGGCUUGUGUAGGAUAGGUGGGAGACUUUGAAGCAUCGACGCCAGUUGGUGUGGAGUCAACGUUGAAAUACCACUCUGGUCGUACUAGAUGUCUAACCUAGGUCCGUAAUCCGGAUCAGGGACAGUGCCUGAUGGGUAGUUUAACUGGGGCGGUUGCCUCCUAAAAUGUAACGGAGGCGCUCAAAGGUUCCCUCAGCCUGGUUGGCAAUCAGGUGUUGAGUGUAAGUGCACAAGGGAGCUUGACUGUGAGACAGACAUGUCGAGCAGGGACGAAAGUCGGAACUAGUGAUCCGGCGUCGGCAUGUGGAAGCGACGUCGCUCAACGGAUAAAAGGUACCCCGGGGAUAACAGGCUGAUCUUCCCCAAGAGUCCAUAUCGACGGGAUGGUUUGGCACCUCGAUGUCGGCUCGUCGCAUCCUGGGGCUGGAGUAGGUCCCAAGGGUUGGGCUGUUCGCCCAUUAAAGCGGCACGCGAGCUGGGUUUAGAACGUCGUGAGACAGUUCGGUCCCUAUCCGCCGCGCGCGCAGGAAACUUGAGAAAGGCUGUCCCUAGUACGAGAGGACCGGGAUGGACGAACCUCUGGUGUGCCAGUUGUCCCGCCAGGGGCACGGCUGGUUAGCUACGUUCGGAAGUGAUAACCGCUGAAUGCAUCUAAGCGGGAAGCAUGUUUCAAGAUGAGGUUUCCCACCCGCUUGACGGGGUAAGGCCCCCAGCAGAACACUGGGUUGAUAGGCCGGAGGUGUACAGCAGUAAUGCCUAGCCGACCGGUACUAAUAGGCCGAGGGCUUGUCUUAC
rnacentral:rRNA from 1 species